GUGACGAGUGGCGGACGGGUGAGUAAUGUCUGGGGAUCUGCCCGAUAGAGGGGGAUAACCACUGGAAACGGUGGCUAAUACCGCAUAACGUCGCAAGACCAAAGAGGGGGACCUUCGGGCCUCUCACUAUCGGAUGAACCCAGAUGGGAUUAGCUAGUAGGCGGGGUAAUGGCCCACCUAGGCGACGAUCCCUAGCUGGUCUGAGAGGAUGACCAGCCACACUGGAACUGAGACACGGUCCAGACUCCUACGGGAGGCAGCAGUGGGGAAUAUUGCACAAUGGGCGCAAGCCUGAUGCAGCCAUGCCGCGUGUAUGAAGAAGGCCUUCGGGUUGUAAAGUACUUUCAGCGGGGAGGAAGGCGAUGCGGUUAAUAACCGCGUCGAUUGACGUACCCGCAG
rnacentral:rRNA from 1 species